rnacentral:misc_RNA from 1 species
CUGUUCGAGCGUCAUUACAGCCCUCAAGCACUCUGCUUGGUCUUGAGCCUCACCGCGCGUGGGCUCCAAAGUCAGUGGCGGUGCCGACCGGCUCCAAGCGUAGUACAACCCCUCGCUUCCGAGUCCGGCCGCGCGCAGCCAGAACCCCUCACUUUCUCAAGGUUGACCUCGGAUCAGGUAGGGAUACCCGCUGAACUUAG